UUGAACGCUGGCGGCAGGCCUAACCCAUGCCAGUCGAGCGGAUGAAGGGAGCUUGCUCCUGGAUUCAGCGGCGGACGGGUGAGUAAUGCCUAGGAAUCUGCCUGGUAGUGGGGGGUAACGUCCGGAAACGGGCGCUAAUACCGCAUACGUCCUGAGGGAGAAAGUGGGGGAUCCUCGGACCUCACGCUAUCAGAUGAGCCUAGGUCGGAUUAGCUAGUUGGUGGGGUAAAGGCCUACCAAGGCGACGAUCCGUAACUGGUCUGAGAGGAUGAUCAGUCACACUGGAACUGAGACACGGUCCAGACUCCUACGGGAGGCAGCAGUGGGGAAUAUUGGACAAUGGGCGAAAGCCUGAUCCAGCCAUGCCGCGUGUGUGAAGAAGGUCUUCGGAUUGUAAAGCACUUUAAGUUGGGAGGAAGGGCAGUAAGUUAAUACCUUGCUGUUUUGACGUUACCAACAGAAUAAGCACCGGCUAACUUCGUG
rnacentral:rRNA from 1 species